CCUACGGGUGGCUGCAGUGAGGAAUAUUGGUCAAUGGACGAGAGUCUGAACCAGCCAAGUAGCGCGAAGGAUGACUGCCCUACGGGUUGUAAACUUCUUUUAUAAGUGAAUAAAAUGUUCCACGUGUGGGAUUUUGUAUGUACUAUAUGAAUAAGGAUCGGCUAACUCCGUGCCAGCAGCCGCGGUAAUACGGAGGAUCCGAGCGUUAUCCGGAUUUAUUGGGUUUAAAGGGAGCGUAGGUGGGUUGUUAAGUCAGUUGUGAAAGUUUGCGGCUCAACCAUAAAAUUGCAGUUGAUACUGGCAGUCUUGAGUACAGUAGAGGUAGGCGGAAUUCGUGGUGUAGCGGUGAAAUGCUUAGAUAUCACGAAGAACUCCUAUUGCGAAGGCAGCUCACUGGACUGCAACUGACACUGAUGCUCGAAAGUGUGGGUAUCAAACAGGAUUAGAUACCCGAGUAGUC
rnacentral:rRNA from 1 species